AUGGCUCAGUGAGGCCUUGGGAUUGGCCAGGAGAGAUGGGCGACCAUCACCCCAGGCCGAAAACUUGGUCAAACUUGGUCAUUUAGAGGAAGUAAAAGUCGUAACAAGGUUUUCGUAGGCGCUUGCGUCUCGGAAUAAGUUAAUGCAUCCUUCUGCAGUGACACUUAUUGGAAGCCUUAGAUAACCGCCAGAAAUGGUACGGUUCCCGCGACUCUAAAGAAGCAGGAUCCUAAGGGUUAGUAGUACUGCCUCCGUUUGAUUCACUCAAGCACGCAGUGCUGCGACACUAUCAAAUUGCGGGAAGUCCCUUAGAGCCGGCAGUACCGCUUCCUCGUCGAAAUGAUGGGGCAGCACCAGGUUAAUGACCUCGGGUAUGGUAACAAUCUCGCCGGAUUGGGUUACCUGCAGCCAAGUCCUCCGCGGGGGGACGGUCGUUCACGGGCGGCUGUCUUUCGCGGUAGGAUGCAGUUCACAGGCCAAAUGGUAGUGGGUGGUCCCCUUUUGUAAGGGCGAUUGCUUAAGAUAUGGUCGGGCCCCCAGGGAAAUCCUGGGGGGUGAGUUCACAAAAGAAUAAGUUACCUGGUGGACCCUACGGGCGCCUAGACUUGAGCAAAAUGAUCGAAAUUUACGGGCCUGGCCAACUGGUCGGGCCUGGAAAGUGGUUUUUUAUGCCAAGUCCCCGUACAAAAUUUUCCCCCAUCAGAUGUCAAAUUCGGACACGAACAUUUUUGGGCGAAAUCUGACUCAGUCGGAGCCCGGAGAGUAUAUGAGGGAGGCCCAGUCAAGUAACAAGAACAAAAAACGUUCCGUAGGUGAACCUGCGGAAGGAUCAUUACCGAGUUAGGGUUCUCUCCUGAGGCCCGACCUCCCAACCCUGUGUCUAAUAAACCUGUAUGUGUUGCUUCGGUGGACCGGCAGUCCCCUCACGGGGGUCCGUCGCCGGGGGAGAACGGUCUCGUGGCCCGCCCCUGGAGAGUUGUCCGCCGAUGGCCCAACUAAAAAAAAUUCCCAAACCCAAAACUAUUGUACCUAAGACUUCUGAAUCAGACCUUUUGAUGUACCAAUCAAAAAUAAAACUUUCAACAACGGAUCUCUUGGUUCUGGCAUCGAUGAAGAACGCAGCGAAAUGCGAUAAGUAAUGCGAAUUGCAGAAUUUCCGUGAGUCAUCGAAUCUUUGAACGCACAUUGCGCCCUUUGGCAUUCCGAAGGGCAUGCCUGUUCGAGCGUCAUUAUCCUCUCUCAAACCUCGGGUUUGGUGUUGGACCGCGUUGGACCUGCCCAUGGCCAACUGGUCUUAAAGACAAUGACGGCGUCCCCGGGACCCUCUUCGCACUGAGCUUUCCGAAGCACGCGUUGAGUUUUACGGGCCCAGGGACCCGGUCACCCCUAAAACUUCUUAAGGUUGACCUCGGAUCAGGUAGGAAUACCCGCUGAACUUAAGCAUAUCAAUAAGCGGAGGAAAAGAAACCAACAGGGAUUGCCUCAGUAACGGCGAGUGAAGCGGCAACAGCUCAAAUUUGAAAUCUGGCCUCAUGGUCCGAGUUGUAAUUUGUAGAGGAUGUUUUGGGCACCGCCCCGGGUUAAAUUUCUUGGAACAGAAUGUCAGAGAGGGUGAGAGUCCCGUCUUGGCCCGCGGUAGGACCUAUGUAAAACUCCUUCGACGAGUCGACUUGUUUGGGAAUGCAGGUCAAAAUGGGUGGUAAAUUUCAUCUAAAGCUAAAUAUUGGCCAGAGACCGAUAGCGCACAAGUAGAGUGAUCGAAAGAUGAAAAGCACUUUGAAAAGAGAGUUAAACAGUAUGUGAAAUUGUUGAAAGGGAAGCGCUGGCAACCAGACUCGAGCGCGGUGUUCCCCCUUGCUUCUGCCUGGGUUAUUUCACCGUGACCGGGCCAUCAUCAGUUUCGGGGGUUGGUUAAAGAUUUGGGGAAUGUAUCCUCUCCCUCGGGGGAGGACUUAUAGCCCCGGAUGUCAUGCAGCCUCCCGGGACUGAGGAACGCGCUUCGGCGAGGAUGAUGGCGUAAUGGUUGUCAGCGACCCGUCUUGAAACACGGACCAAGGAGUCUAACAUCUAUGCGAGUGUUCGGGUGUCAAACCCUUGCGCGGAAUGAAAGUGAACGGAGGUAGGAAGGCUUGAGCCUGCACUAUCGACCGAUCCUGAUGUCUUCGGAUGGAUUUGAGUAAGAGCAUAGCUGUUGGGACCCGAAAGAUGGUGAACUAUGCGUGAAUAGGGUGAAGCCAGAGGAAACUCUGGUGGAGGCUCGCAGCGGUUCUGACGUGCAAAUCGAUCGUCAAAUUUGCGUAUAGGGGCGAAAGACUAAUCGAACCAUUGGUAAUCACUACUAGGUGGUUAAGAGUCGUGUGUGAAAAGCACCGGCUAGUCGCGAGUCCGCGGCAAGGUCGUCAAAUUGCGGGAACACCCUAAAGCCUGAGGUACCGCCGACUGUCCCGAAAGGGCGUGAGGCACCACGGAGAGAUUUCGUGGGUACGGUAACAAUCCGAAGGAUGGCUUAGGUAAACCCUAAGCCGCUGUAAUGGGCAAUCCGCAGCCAAGCCUGUCCCUCCCUUCCCGGGGGGGGGGGGGGAAAUUGGGUGCAGUUCAUCGACUAGAUGUCGACCGGGUGCUAGGCCUAUUAACGCCUGGCGCCUCAAGAUAUAGUCAGGCCCUCGGGGAGACCCGAGCGGAGGAACAAAGUAAAGGGGGUCGGACUCUCACAAGAAGCCCGCUUUACCCGAAUCCCUCCUGGCCGGUCUUAUGAAAGACCGGUGAUCAA
rnacentral:rRNA from 1 species